GUUCUUCCUUACAAGAAAAAUGACAUUUCUUAUUAUAAUUAUUUCUCCUUGGAGAUUUGCUCCUUCUUAUUGAAGAUCUUUUCCUAACUAUUUUUAAUGCAGUCUUUUAUUUCACUGCAUUCAUUUGCAUGAUAAGAGCUUUUACCCUUAAACCUCAACGAUUCAAUGGUGUUUUUCAAUGUGUGAUGCACUGUGAUGCAAUUUUCAAGUGGAAAAAUGUUGAAAGUGGAGUGGAAAGAGGAGGAGCAGUCAAGCCAAAUUGUAAAAUCAAUAUGAUAGAAAAAUAAUUCUCAUCCAAAUAUAGACCUUUCCUGACUAAUUAGUUGCUCCUCAAAUUUUCAGGUUAAAAUUUGGAAGAAGAAAAUGAAAUUCUUGCUUUCUUUUUCCCAUUUACAUUCUAUAGGUUAGGGAUGUAACAAAAACUGCUUUCUAGAUAUUCCCUCUUGUUAAACUAUGGAGAGAGAAAGCAUUUUUUUCCUUUUUUCCCUCUAAUUCUUUUAGAUGUCUACCAUUACAUAUAGUUGGAUUGAUUGAAUAAUUGUUGUUUACUUUAUGUCAGGUGGUAAAUGUUUCAUGCAUGUUAAGGACAAGCAUGUAUAUAGGGAUGGUGUCUUAAUACAUUUCCCUCCAACCAUUUUUUUCUCUUUAUUUUUUUUAUUUUAUAGAAUAAUCAUCCUUUUAAUGAAAUUUUUUUUUUUGUCAAAAUGAGACGAAAGAAACACGUCGCAAGAGAACUGCAAUAUUUCACCUAUUCUAGCAUCUUUUUCUCAUCCUAAUCUUAAAUCAAUUUUUGAAUGACCACUCUGAACAAUAAGUGCAACUUGGCCACACAACUGUCAUGCAAAAUUUCUAUAAGUGAGAGAAGGGAUUAGGUCACACAAGAUUGUGUAUUGGCAUCUCCAUUUAUCAGAAGCUGUCAGAAAAAGUCCACAAAAUCUUGAUUGAUUAAGUCAACAGAUUUUCUUUACCUGAAAUAAUUUCAUAGGAUUAAUUUAAUGGCAUAAAUUUUCAGACAUAGAUGACAAAUUAUUCAUAGUAAAAGAUUGAGGCCACUAGUACUUUUCUUACAAGAAAUUGUAAAUUUGUA
rnacentral:lncRNA from 1 species